rnacentral:rRNA from 1 species
UACGGGGGUGGCAAGCGUUACUCGGAAUUAUUGGGUGUAAAGGGCAGGUAGGCGGCUUGGUAAGUGAGGGGUGAAAUCCCACGGUUCAAUCGUGGAACAGCCUUUCAAACUGCCUUGCUUGAGAGUGACAGAGGAAGAUGGAAUUCUCGGUGUAAGGGUGAAAUCUGUAGAUAUCGGGAAGAACACCAACGGCGAAGGCAAUCUUCUGGGUCACUUCUGACGCUGAGCUGCGAAAGCUAGGGGAGCAAACAGA